GAUCCUGGCUCAGGAUGAACGCUGGCGGCGUGCCUAACACAUGCAAGUCGAGCGAUUCUCUUCGGAGAAGAGCGGCGGACGGGUGAGUAACGUGUGGGUAACCUGCCCUGUACACACGGAUAACAUACCGAAAGGUAUGCUAAUACGAGAUAACAUAAGAGAGUCGCAUGGCUUUCUUAUCAAAGCUCUGGCGGUACAGGAUGGACCCGCAUCUGAUUAGCUAGUUGGUAAGG
rnacentral:rRNA from 1 species